UACGGAGGGUGCAAGCGUUAUCCGGAUUCAUUGGGCGUAAAGGGUGCGUAGGCGGCGGGGUAAGUCUGAUGUGAAAUCCCGGGGCUCAACCCCGGAACUGCAUUGGAUACUGCCUUGCUUGAGUACUGGAGAGGAGACUGGAAUUUACGGUGUAGCAGUGAAAUGCGUAGAUAUCGUAAGGAAGGCCAGUGGCGAAGGCGAGUCUCUGGACAGUUACUGACGCUGAGGCACGAAGGCCAGGGGAGCAAACGGG
rnacentral:rRNA from 1 species